GAGUUUGAUCGUGGCUCAGAUUGAACGCUGGCGGCAUGCCUUACACAUGCAAGUCGAACGGCAGCACGGGAGCUUGCUCCUGGUGGCGAGUGGCGAACGGGUGAGUAAUGCAUCGGAACGUAUCCUGGAGUGGGGGAUAACGUAGCGAAAGUUACGCUAAUACCGCAUAUUCUGUGAGCAGGAAAGCGGGGGACCUUCGGGCCUCGCGCUCUUGGAGCGGCCGAUGUCGGAUUAGCUAGUUGGUGAGGUAAAGGCUCGACCAAGGCGACGAUCCGUAGCAGGUCUGAGAGGAUGAUCUGCCACACUGGAACUGAGACACGGUCCAGACUCCUACGGGAGGCAGCAGUGGGGAAUUUUGGACAAUGGGGGCAACCCUGAUCCAGCCAUGCCGCGUGAGUG
rnacentral:rRNA from 1 species